rfam:Schistosoma mansoni strain Puerto Rico chromosome 2, complete genome
AUCCAGCUGAUGAGUGACAAAUAGGACGAAACGCACGUCCUGGAU